CACAAUUUAAUACAAUGUGAUCCAUCGAUCAAUGGAGAAGAGAGCCCCUAUGGGCAAUAAUGUGUCCGUUGAUGUAGGUCAGUAUGGCCGAAUCACGUUAAUUUUUUUUAUCUUCUUUCAUAUUCUUCUAUUUCUCUGUCUCAUCUUUAUCCAUCUAAAUUUUAACAUCUUUGCAGGCAAACUUUAUGUGCAAUACAAAAUCCAUCGUCUGAAAAUGUUUAUCAACAAGGCUGGCCACUUGUCCUCUAGCUAGCUCAUUAUGCACAAUAAAGAAUUAGAUUAUCCUUCUAUCAUAUCCUAUCUUGUAGGUGGCCUCUCAUGUUUCUAAUUUC
rnacentral:lncRNA from 1 species